GAUGAACGCUGGCGGCGUGCCUAAUACAUGCAAGUCGAGCGAAUUGACAGAGGUGCUUGCACCUCUCGAUUUUAGCGGCGGACGGGUGAGUAACACGUGGGUAACCUACCUAUAAGACUGGGAUAACUUCGGGAAACCGGAGCUAAUACCGGAUAAUAUUUAGCUUCGCAUGAAGCAAUAGUGAAAGACGGUUCUGCUGUCACUUAUAGAUGGACCUGCGGUGUAUUAGCGAGUUGGUGAGGUAACGGCACACCAAGGCAACGAUACAUAGCCGACCUGAGAGGGUGAUCGGCCACACUUGGACUGAGACACGGCCCAGACUCCUACGGGAGGCAGCAGUAGGGAAUCUUCCGCAAUGGACGAAAGUCUGACGGAGCAACGCCGCGUGAGUGAAGAAGGUUUUCGGAUCGUAAAACUCUGUUGUAAGGGAAGAACAAGUACGUUAGUAACUGAACGUACCUUGACGGUACCUUACCAGAAAGCCACGGCUAACUACGUGCCAGCAGCCGCAGUAAAAC
rnacentral:rRNA from 1 species